GACGAACGCUGGCGGCGUGCUUAACACAUGCAAGUCGAACGGAAAGGCCCUGCUUUUGUGGGGUGCUCGAGUGGCGAACGGGUGAGUAACACGUGAGUAACCUGCCCUUGACUUUGGGAUAACUUCAGGAAACUGGGGCUAAUACCGGAUAGGAGCUCCUGCUGCAUGGUGGGGGUAGGAAAGUUUCGGCGGUUGGGGAUGGACUCGCGGCUUAUCAGCUUGUUUGUGGGGUAGUGGCUUACCAAGGCUUUGACGGGUAGCCGGCCUGAGAGGGUGACCGGCCACAUUGGGACUGAGAUACGGACCAGACUGCAACGGGAGGCAGCAGUGGGGAAUAUUGCACAAUGGGCGGAAGCCUGAUGCAGCAACGCCGCGUGCGGGAUGACGGCCUUCGGGUUGUAAACCGCUUUCGCCUGAGACGAAGCGUGAGUGACGGUAAUGAGUAAAGAAGCACCGGCUAACUACGUG
rnacentral:rRNA from 1 species